GACGAUGCGUAGGGGUUCUGAGAGGAAGGCCCCCCACACUGGUACUGAGACACGGACCAGACUCCUACGGGAGGCAGCAGUGAGGAAUAUUGGUCAAUGGCCGAGAGGCUGAACCAGCCAAGUCGCGUGAGGGAAGAAUGUCCUAAGGAUUGUAAACCUCUUUUGUCGGGGAGCAAAAAGGCUCUGCGGAGUCGUAUUGAGAGUACCCGAAGAAAAAGCAUCGGCUAACUCCGUGCCAGCAGCCGCGGUAAUACGGAGGAUGCGAGCGUUAUCCGGAUUUAUUGGGUUUAAAGGGUGCGCAGGCGGCGUGUCAAGCAAGCGGUAAAAUAGCGGGGCUCAACCCCGUCGAGCCGUUUGAACUGGCGCGCUUGAGUUCAGGCGAGGUAGGCGGAAUUCGUGGUGUAGCGGUGAAAUGCAUAGAUAUCACGAAGAACUCCGAUUGCGAAGGCAGCUUACCAGUCUGCGACUGACGCUCAGGCACGAAAGUGUGGGUAUCGAACAGGAUUAGAUACCCUGGUAGUCCACACAGUAAACGAUGAGCGCUAGGUGUCCGGGUCGCAUGAGACUUGG
rnacentral:rRNA from 1 species